CUGUGUUUUGCUGGAACAAUGGCAAGCCCAAAUCAGUCACAAACAGUGGAAAAUGAAACUAAGAAUCGUACCCUGCAUGAAGCUCGUGUAGCCCGGGUACGUAAAUUAAAGCAUUAUUUUGUUUUGAAAUUUCAUUUUGUUUGAUCGACGACUUUCUUUUUUCUAAUUCUGUUUGGUUUUGGUUUGAUUUCAUGCUAAGCAGGCAAGGCCAGUGGUGGAAGCUUUCAUACAGAAAGUGAAAGAAACUUUCGUAAGUUAUUUUAAAGCCAGGACUUCUUCCUUGUUUUGGAUAACGUUCACUACAAUGUAUAUUAUUUUCUAAAGUUUAAUAGUCAAAGUAUUUAUUAAUAUAAGUGGCGAUUAAUUAAUCAAGGCUCUGGCUGGCACUGAGGAAAGGCCUGCGGUAGAAGAAAGUUCAAGCACUAAGCCUAAUGAAGAAAUGGAACCUGAUGAAUUGAAGUUGGGGGAUCUCAAAAUUAAAUGAAGCUCUCGAGUCUCGGCAAUGAUCGGCGUCAUAGAUCUUUCAAUUUAUCUUUGCAGUUGUAAUGUCAUGUGCUCUAGCACAAUCAUAUGUAUCAGUUACUGUUUUCUCUUUUGCUUUCAAUAAUUGUCUGUCUUGUGUUUCUCAUUUGGUUUAAUAAAUUUCUAAUUUUCAGCAGAGGUUUUUUUUUUUUUUCCCCUUUCAAAAAAGUUUCCACGGAGGGUUACCCUCGAACAAAAAGUAUCAGUUACUUUCUCACUGAAUAAGAUCAAAGAUUGGGCUUUAGGACAAAUGCUCUGAUUUAUCAUGAACUGUAUAUUUUACCAAAAAAGACCGAAAUUUUAUCCUCCCUGAGCUUCUUCCAAGCAAAACCGAAGGUGGUAAUUGAUAGUUAUCAAUUGUUCGGAAGAUAAUUCAAACAUUAGAUGAGAAUAAUUUUUGGGCUAAGUAUAUAUGCCAGGGGUUAUAGCAAUUUUUAAUUUAUGAGUUACCCUUUCCACAUGAUAAAUACAAUACUACUAAAAAAAAAAAACUUUUUAAGUGCAAGAUGUUAACAAGAUAAUCCAACCUUGACUAAAAUACAUAAAACUCGACUUACUGAAUAGUUAGGCCCAUGAUCUUCUUCAUUAAGUUCACUAUAUUGGCAACAAGAUCCUUUUAACCAUGCGAGUACAAACAUGCAGGAUUACAUGAUACGUGUAGCACAUAAAUCAAAUGAUCUUAGAAGAUUUCCCGUGCCCGUAGCUGAGUAGCAUAUACAUUUUUCACAGCUCAUGACAGGAAAUUUGAACACAAACUGCUUGAUGAUUCGAAUCGUUUGAAGUAGCAUUUUUGAGAAAGAGAAACAUAUGCAUGAAGGAGUGAAUAUUGGCACUGCCACAGCCUGACACACAAGCUCACUCAAAU
rnacentral:lncRNA from 1 species